AUUCUCGUUGCAUUUCUUUUACCUCGGGCUGAAGAUCUUCUCAAACUUGGCACUGCCUCAGUGAGGACGAGGAGACCCAGAGGCGGUACCGUCGGUCCAGACUCUCAGUGUCCAGACGGCAGAAACCAAACCCUGGGGCCAAGGGGAUCUGGGUCUGCACAUGAAUGAAAUCAUGUGGUAUUUGUCUUUCUCCUUCUGACUGACUUCACUUAACACAACCACCUCCAGGCCCACCCAUGUUGUCACAAAUGGCAAGAGGUCAUCUUUUUCAUAGCAAAAACAGCCUCUCCAUCCAUCCCAGCCUCCUCAUUUCUGGUGCUUUUACAGUAAACGGAGCGAGAGGAGUGACGCAUGUUGAAUGUGAGAGAUUAACG